rnacentral:lncRNA from 1 species
CACACCCUGGCCACGCCCCGGUGGGCACCGCCCGGAGUGACACGGCUGGGACCGGCCCGGCGGAGAGACCCGAACCCGCCCAAGGGGACCCGCCCGAGGGGACCCGAACCGCUCCGGACACACCCGAACUGUCCCGAACCGGGAGCGUCCCGAACCGGGGGGACCCGAGCCCGCACGAGGGGACCCGAGCCCGCCCGAGGGAAGCCGAACCUCCCUGAGGGGAUCCGAGCCCGCCUGAGGGGACCCGAACUCAGCCCAGAACCCACCCGAACUCGCCCGGAAAAACCCGAACCCGCUCGGCCCCCAGGAUGCCCCCUCCGUGCCGCCCCCCGUCCCCUCUCCGCUGUGUCCAGGCUCUCAGUGCCCUCCUGGCGCUGGCGCUGGCGGCGGCCCCCGGCUAUUGGAACCCUGGCGAGGGUGACGGCUGCUUGUCCGCCUGGGCCUUGUCCUUCGUCUUCACCCUCCUCCUCCUCCUCAACGACGCCUUCCGCCGCCCGCCGCCCCGCCGCGACCUGCCGCUGGCCCUGGCCACCGCC